UCGGCAACGGGAUCGCCAUCGGAAAGGGACGGGGAUCGGGACUGGAACGGGAUCGGGCUGCCUGGGAAGGUCUGGCUGCAGCCGCCCGAGCCCUCGGUGCGGGAGGCGGCGGAGAGCGGUCCCGGCUGUCCCGGCGCUGCAGAGGCACCGCCGGGCACGAUCGGGAAGAAGACCAGGACCAGGACCAGGACCAGGACCAGGACCAGGACCAGGACCAGGUCAGCUGGGGCCGCAGCCGCGCCUGUUGCUCGCCCCGCUCCAUCCCGCCGGGAGCGGGGCUUUUAAACAGACGCGGCUCCUGGAAGGCUUUGACAAUUAACUAUAAAAAAAGCGGUAUGUGCGGGUGUCACAGCGGUGAAAAGGAGGUCGUUUGAAGGGUGUUCAGGAAAAAGGAGCUGGAAGAUGAAGCUGGCUGUUCGAGCAGCACAGAGAUGAGGGAGGUGAGGGGAUGUCAAGUGAUCCCCAGUCCCAUGGGCUAGUGCUCGAGGACCGCGCUGCUGGGAUAAAAACACCUCCUCCUAACAUUUGCAAGAAGGAUAAGGAACCACCCUCCUACCUGCAUCGUCCUUUCUCAGCUGUGCAUGGGGCAGAAGAGGAUGCUGAAUAUCAUUUUGGAAGUAGAGGGAGUAAAGAUCUGAAGAAAUCCCAGAGGAUGGCUUCUGAUGCCAGUCAUAUGCUGGAAGCAGCUUUGGAGCAAAUGGAUGACAUCAUUGCAGGCACAAAGUCAGCCACAGAAUAUGCUAAUGGUGGUUAUGAUAUUGUGUCACCUGCUCCAUCAGUGUACCUGGGCACAUUUCAAAUUUUGCACCUCCUGGAAGAUCUGAAGAUGGCCCUGGAGAUGCUGGAGGACCCUCAGGAGAAAGAAGCUCUGAGAAACCAAAUCCCAGGAGCCACAGCACUGUGUCUGAGGGAGUGGUUUGAGGAGAACCUGUCACAGGUGAACCAUCAUUCAUCCAAUAAUGAAACUUAUCAAGAAAGGCUGGCACGAUUAGAAGGUGAUAAAGAGUCGCUCAUCCUGCAGGUGAGUGUUCUCACAGACCAGGUGGAAGCUCAAGGAGAGAAAAUCCGGGACUUAGAAAUCUGUCUUGAGGGGCAUCAGUUGAAGCUGAAUGCUACAGAAGAAAUGCUCCAACAGGAGCUGCUAAGUCGCACAUCGCUCGAGACUCAGAAAUUAGAUCUGAUGGCUGAAGUGUCGGACCUGAAGAUUAAGCUGGUUGGUAUGGAAAAGGAGCAGAGUGAAUAUGAAGAGAAACAGAACAAAGCUGAGUCAGUAGUGAACCUGAUCAGUGACCUACAGGAGCAGAUGUGUAGACUGCAGCUGGAAAUUAAUAGUAGGAUCCAAGAAAGAAAGACUCAAGAUAGGAAAGCAGACUUGACCCCUAAUGAUCCUCAGUCUGGUGCAAGAUCAAUAGAGCCCCUGGGCCAGAAGAAUUGCUCUCGGUGUGAAGGUUUGUUACAGGAACUCAAACACCUCAAAAUUAAAGUAGAAGAACUGGAAAACGAAAGAAAUCAGUAUGAGUGGAAAUUGAAAGCAACUAAAGCUGAGAUAGCCCAGCUCCAGGAGCAGCUGGCUCUCAAAGAUGCGGAGAUAGAACGCUUGCAAAGUCAGCUCUCCAGGACCUCCUCGUACACUGAAGUGGCAGAAAGAGAGGAAGUUUAUAGGAGAAGGCUAAAAGAAAAACACCAAGAAGUUCAGCGGUUGAAGAUAGGAAUGGAGACAUUAUUGGCUGCAAAUGAAGAAAAGGACCGUCGGAUAGAGGAGCUGACACUACUGCUAAGCCAGUACAGGAGGGUCAAGGACAUAAUGAUUGUAGCUCAUGGCUCUCCUGUCUCUGGUGGCAGCGAAGAGGAAGUUGAGGCAACUUUAAGGAAGUGGAGCCUUCUGAAUAACUCUCAAGGAGAAUUACUGAAAACAGAGGCCUCUGCAGGAGAGUUGUCACCAGUUGUGCUCCCUCCAGUGCCACACAAAGCCGUGGAAAUCAGUGGAAGCAUUCCAGUAUCCUCAAGCAAUUUAAUUUCUCAGCAGGAAGAAUCUUUGGAAGUCACAAAUAGGGUUCCACAGAAAAAAAAGUCAAGUAGUUUAGAAGACUUGCAGAGCGAAUCCUUGGAAAAGAGUAAGCCAGUGGGGAAAGGCAGCAAGUACCAAACGCUGCCAGGAAAGCUGCCCCGAGCCCUGCAGAACGGAGAGCAGGGGAUGUACAGCUCCCCAGAGGGAUGUGGCACCAGUGACAACGAUGACAACGGCGUCCCUGGCCUGAAUCGCGGCAGGAGUGUCAGUGCACCCGUGUUAGGAGAAACAGAGAACAUGGAUGGCUCAGUGGUCUCAGAUGACCUUUCACCUCUCUCUUCGGGAACGGAUUCAGGUCCACAAUCUCCCUGGGCUCCAGAAAACAGAAAGAAUCCAAAAGGGAUCAAGAAAAUCUGGGGGAAAAUACGAAGAACUCAGUCAGGUAACUUCCCUGCAGACGACCUGGGCCUGGCAGAGUUUCGCAGGGGAGGUCUCCGGGCUACAGCUGGACCUCGCUUAUCCCGAUCCAAGGACACCAAAGGCCAGAAGAGCGACCACAAUGCCCCCUUUGCUCAGUGGAGCACUGAAAGAGUUUGUAACUGGCUGGAGGACUUUGGCCUGGGCCAGUACGUGAUUUUUGCCCGGCAGUGGGUGACAUCAGGCCACACGCUGUUAACUGCCACACCUCAGGACAUGGAAAAGGAAAUGGGAAUAAAGCAUCCACUGCACAGGAAGAAAUUGGUUUUGGCCAUUAAAGCUAUAAAUGCAAAACAAGAUGAGAAGUCUGCACAACUUGAUCAUAUCUGGGUGACACGGUGGCUGGAUGACAUUGGCUUGCCUCAGUACAAAGACCAGUUCCAUGAAUCCAGAGUAGAUGGGAGGAUGUUGCAGUACUUAACUGUGAACGACCUUCUCUUCCUGAAAGUCACCAGUCAGCUGCAUCACCUGAGUAUUAAAUGUGCCAUUCAUGUGCUGCACGUCAACGGCUUCAAUCCCCACUGUCUGCGCAGGAGGCCAGUUGAGGAGAACAAUGUCUCUCCUUCCGACGUGGUGCAGUGGUCCAACCACAGGGUGAUGGAAUGGCUCAGAUCAGUGGAUCUGGCAGAAUACGCACCCAACCUUCGAGGCAGCGGAGUGCACGGGGGCCUGAUCAUUCUGGAACCUCGUUUCAACGGCGACACGUUGGCCAUGCUGCUGAACAUCCCACCCCAAAAGACCCUCCUGCGCCGCCACCUCACCACCAAUUUUAACGUGUUAAUUGGGCCAGAGGCACAACAAGAAAAAAGAGAAACCAUGGAGUCAGCAGCAUACACACCUCUGACCACCACUGCCAAAGUUCGGCCAAAGAAACUUGGAUUUUCGCAUUUUGGAAACUUAAGGAAAAAGAAGUUUGACGAAUCAACAGACUACAUUUGUCCUAUGGAUACAAGCCCUGCUGCUACGAAUGGUACUUCCAAAAACUACAGUGGCUACAAAGGACUUAGUCCUUUCACUGACAGGGAACUGGAUCAGGCACAGAUCCCUCCCAAAGCUGCAUGUAGAGUGAAUAAAAUUGCACAUGCUGUCUGAUUUGAACUAGUUGCUGACUGCUUUUACAGAUGGAACACUCAGAAGGCACAGUAAUGCAAAUAGGGGCACUUUCCCAAGGCAUAACCCACCUCACGACACUGCUGAGCCAGGAUGAAAUGCUGAAUGACAGCAGGUUUUUAACACCGACC